rnacentral:rRNA from 1 species
UACGUAGGGUGCAAGCGUUGUCCGGAAUUAUUGGGCGUAAAGAGCUCGUAGGCGGUUCGGCAAGUCGGAUGUGAAAUCUCCACGCUUAACGUGGAGGGGCCAUUCGAAACUGCUGUGACUCGAGUCCGGUAGGGGAGUGUGGAAUUCCCGGUGUAGCGGUGAAAUUCGUAGAUAUCGGGAGGAACACCAGUGGCGAAGGCGGCGACCUGGGCCAAUAUUGACGCUGAGGUGCGAAAGCGUGGGGAGCAAACAGGG